GAUGAACGCUGGCGGCGUGCCUAAUACAUGCAAGUCGAGCGAACGGACGAGAAUCUUGCUUCUCUGAUGUUAGCGGCGGACGGGUGAGUAACACGUGGAUAACCUACCUAUAAGACUGGGAUAACUUCGUGAAACCGGAUCUAAUACCGGAUGAUAUUUUGAACCGCAUGGUUCAAAAGUUUAUGACGGUCUUGCUGUCACUUAUAGAUGUAUCCACGCUGCAUUAGCUAGUUGUUAAGGUAACGGCUUACCAAGGCAACGAUGCAUAGACGAACUGAUAGGGAGAUCGGACACACUGGAAGGGAGACAGGGACCAGACUCUGACGGGAGGCAGCAGAAGGGAAUAUUACGGAAGGGGGGAAAGGAUGACGGAGCAAAGCCGGGGGAGUGAAGAAGGACUGAGGAUCGUAAAACGAAGUUAUUAGGGAAGAAGAUAAGUGAAAGUAACAGUGAAGAUAUUGACGGUACCUAAAAAGAAAGCAACGGCUAACUACGUG
rnacentral:rRNA from 1 species